rnacentral:rRNA from 1 species
GAUGAACGCUGGCGGCGUGCCUAACACAUGCAAGUCGAACGGAAAGACGAUGAGCUUGUGCGUUUCACGUUAGCGGCGGGCGGGUGAGUAACGCGUGUAUCACCCUCUUAUAUUUCGGGGAGAAUUUCGUGAAACCGGAUCCAAUACCAGAGAAUAUACUGAACCGCAGGGAGCAAUGGAGAUUGGCGGCUUUGGGGUCUGUUAUAGCUGAUUCCGGGCUGGAUUGGCUAGUUGGUAAGGUAACGGCCUAGCAAGGCGACGAUGCGUAGCCGAGCUGAGGGGGUGAUCGGCCACACUGGAACUGAGACACGGUCCAGACGCCUACGGGAGGCAGCAGUAGGGAAUGUUGGGCAAUGGGCGGAAGCCUGACGCAGCCACGCCGCGUGAGUGACGAAGGCCUUCGGAUCGUAAAGCCCUGUUAUUGGGGAAGAACAGCUGUGGGAGUAGACAUGGCCGUAUUGACGGUACCUAAUCAAGAAGCACCGGCUAACUACGUG